GGCGAACGCUGGCGGCGUGCUUAACACAUGCAAGUCGAACGAUGAAGUUCCUUCGGGAAUGGAUUAGUGGCGAACGGGUGAGGAACACGUGAGAAACCUGCCUUUCAUUUUGGGAUAACUCCGGGAAACCGGGGCUAAAACCGAAUACUCCGUCUCGGCGGCAUCGCUGAGCCGGGAAAAAAUUUUGAUGAAAGAUGGUCUCGCGGCCUAUCAGCUAGUUGGUGAGGUAAUGGCUCACCAAGGCAACGACGGGUAGCCGGCCUGAGAGGGCGACCGGCCACACUGGGACUGAGACACGGCCCAGACUCCUACGGGAGGCAGCAGUGGGGAAUAUUGGGCAAUGGGCGCAAGCCUGACCCAGCGACGCCGCGUGAGGGAUGAAGGCCUUCGGGUUGUAAACCUCUUUCAGUAGGGAAGAAGCGAAAGUGACGGUACCUAAAGAAGAAGCACCGGCUAACUAUGUGCCAGCAGCCGCCGCGG
rnacentral:rRNA from 1 species